UUAAUGAGAAAGGGCAGCCAGUAGAGCCUCCUCAUACUGUUGCUAGAUUUUCUAGGUUCUUAGGAAUGCUAUCUCAAGAAGCAUCAUAUUUUCCAAUUAACAUAGUUGAUUGGAGGAAUUUCUACAGGGCUUUAAACAUGGAUUGUGCUUGGCAGAGGAUUAAGGGGACUCUUGAUUAGACCAAUGCUAUAACUCUAGAAUUGGAGCAAAAAAUUUGGUGGGUUUCUGAGAUGAAGUUGAAUGAUAGAUGGAAGAAUUACAAGGCAAACCUCAAGAAGGCAUCCUAUACUCCAUGUCUGCACUCACCAUUAGCGAAGAGGUUCCAUUGUCAUGAUGGCCGUGUCAACCAAGGCCAAUAGAAAUUGUUAGUGCAUCUAUGGGACACCAUAGAUGCUCAGGUACCACACACAAUCAACAAAUGUUCUUCAUUUUUUAUACACCAUAUAUGCUUGAUAAAUGUAUUGGAAAUUAGGAUGAAUUUCCUUGAACAUAGCCUUACUAAUGCAUGAUAAACUUGACAUAUGCAAAAGUGUGCUACAUCAUCUAUAAAGAAUAGGAAGGCACUACAAACAAAUCACACGACUGGAACCAAGACUUUUACGCAAAUCAGACACGAACAUGUAAGGCUCUUCUAGGUGUUUUGUGUCAUGGUAACUUAAAUACAUGUUAGUGCAAAUGGAAUGAAUGUGCCUGUUGAUGUCAAGAUAUGAAAUAAUGUGGAAAUUAGUUAUUUGACAUUUUAUGUAACAGGAACAAGUUAAUGGAAGCAAACCAGACUGCAUUACAUUCUUUACGCUAACACAUACUCGGAAGAAUGGGGAACCAAUGGAUGCUCAGUUAGCUAAAAUAAUUGUAGGAUGAUUUCAAUACAAAGCUGAAACUGCAUGAGGAUAGGAAUGAGAUCAUAACUGAUGUACGCUAAUGUAUUGGGGCCUGAGAGAAACAACUGUGUCAGAGGGUUUGGGACAGGGGUUAUGUGGUUUGAUGUGCUAGGUAUUAUAACAGAGAAAAUGGGAAUUUGUAGAGAGGUUGAAGCAAUUAGAGCAUCAUAUGAGGAGCAAAGAAAAGUUGCUAAUAUUGAAAUUGAAAGACUUAGGAUGGAGGAAAGUGAGAUAGAGCAAAGGCAAAGGAUUGAGUCAACAAAUGUGGUUGCAUAAUCGAGGAAAGACCAUACUGAUUCAAUGGUGGCACACAACAGACGGGUGGACUUGGAAUUGGAUAACAUGAAGCGUGAAAUGAGGGUUGAAAUUAUGUCUACGCUGAAGAUGACUGCUGAUGGAGGCAUGGUGGAACCAAAUGGAGUUGAUGUGACUUAAGUUUAUGUCAAUAGAAUUGAACUAGGGAUUGGUUUGGAGAUCCAAGCAAAUGGAGAAGUUGAAGAUCAAGGUUUUGUUGUGGUGUAGAAUAUUGGCACAGAUGAUAAGAUUGGGUAUCGUCCAUGCAUGGUGAAUGUCACUGGCAUCAGUAAGUGAAAAGUUAACUAUGAUCCUUUUUGUGAAUUUUACUUGAUGUAUAUAGUACAAAUGCCAUAGGGAAGGCAUAGAACUAAUUGGGUGGAUUUUGUUAGUUAUCAUUUUACUGUUGGUGGAUGUGCAUAGGUACAUAGUUGUUAUAAAAUGUAACGUCAUCACCCUUGGGUACUUGGUUGUGUUGGACAAUAUCGUUGAAUGUAAUAUGCUUUCUUAUGUAGC